rnacentral:lncRNA from 1 species
CAGGCAUCCCUCUGAGGACAGGGCCUGAGAGACUGCAGAGAUUGCUGGCUGUGCAGUGACCCUGGGGCAGGCACUGUUGGGCCUCCUGGUCUAGAGAAAUUUCAAGUGGGGCACCUGUGCCAGCCAUAAAUGACAUGAAUUCAGUGGAGCUCAACUAAGAAAAAUGAAAAGAGCCAAAGAGGAGGCAAUUGAAACCAUGUCUGGAGAUAUUAAAAAUUCUUUCCCAUGUAUGCCAUACAGUGUAUUGGGCAGAAUUCCCACUGUUC